rnacentral:rRNA from 1 species
AACGAACGCUGGCGGCAGGCCUAACACAUGCAAGUCGAACGCUCCGCAAGGGGAGUGGCAGACGGGUGAGUAACACGUGGGAAUCUUCCUAUCGGUACGGAAUAGCUCAGGGAAACUUGGGGUAAUACCGCAUACGCCCGAAAGGGGAAAGAUUUAUCGCCGAUAGAUGAGCCCGCGUCUGAUUAGCUAGUUGGUGAGGUAAUGGCUCACCAAGGCGACGAUCAGUAGCUGGCUGAGAGGAUGACCAGCCACACUGGGACUGAGACACGGCCCAGACUCCUACGGGAGGCAGCAGUGGGGAAUAUUGGACAAUGGGCGCAAGCCUGAUCCAGCCAUGCCGCGUGAGUGACGAAGUCUUCGGAUUGUAAAGCUCUUUUGCCAGGGGACGAUAAUGACGGUACCUGGAGAAUAACGCCCCGGCUAACUUCGUGCCAGCAGCCGC